UAAGAUACAACAAUGGCUUUCUGUUCAAUUCUGACUCUGCUGCUCUGUGGUGUAGGUAAGUAGUGUUCAUUCAGGAUAUUAUUCAACUGUAAGAAAAACCCUGAACUGUAUUAUAAGCUUUGCUUGGUCGUUUCAUACAUGUGAGAUUUCUAAUCAUUCUUAUUUUCUAAGAUUUCUGUAUGAUGGUUAGGCUGAAAUGUUACACAGUUGGCCAGUCUUAUAUAAAGUUUAGAUUUUAAGUCUAAUGUUUUGUAGUACUAAGCUUUCUUACUAAGAUUACUGUUAACCAAUAUUGAUCUUUUUGUUAUAGAUGUAUGGACCUUUUUUAACAGAUGCAAACGAUAAAGAAUGGUUUGACGACAAUCAUGUUUCAUCAGUGUUUGAUCAGCAGUGUUUCAUCAACAGGGAUUGAUCUGCAGGGUUUAUUUAGCAGUGCUAAACUGUCAUUGUGGGUUGCAGGUUUGUUCCCAGUGUCUCUGUACUCUCAAAACACUCAGAUAGCAGAACCUGGUGUUGAUGUCACUAUGUGGUGCCAACACAGCCUGCAUGGCUCAGGUUCCAUAUUCUGGAUCAAACAGACAAGUAACUCUGUACCACAAAGUGUUGCAUGUAAAACUCACAAAUCUAAAAACUGUUACUUCUUCACUCCAAACAAUCAAACUGUGAUGUCUGUGAAUGACAAGAAUGCCUCUCUCACCAUCACUGGUUGAGGACUGUAUUACUGCAGUUUGCUGCUAAAUGAUAAAAUAACCUUUAGCAACACAACAUAUUUACAUGUCAAAGGUAAUAAUCUAAUCUGAGGAUAUUUCAUUACUCAUGUACUGCAUUUAUUGAACCACCUGAGUUAACCAGGAACAUUGCCAUUGUUUUUAAAUAACACACUGGUCAAACCACUGCAGACCUAAACAUGUUUGAAACACACAUUUCGUUAGGUUUUAAAUAUUUAAGGCAUAUUUAUGCAAAUAGCAAAGAAGAACAUUGCAUUUUACCAUAUUAGAUUAUUCAGCCUGUAAAAAUAUUGAUUCAUUUUGUAGACAGAAAUGAAACACCUGAGAGCAUCAACAUAACUAAAGAAGGUUUGCCAUUUCUCUUUUCCUAGUUUGCAUGCUUGUCCUGUUCUUGGAUUAGUAGACAGUUGGUUUUACACUCAGUCACCAGAUUGUAGGAUUGAUGUGCAUUUCCCAUUGUAUAUCCUUGUUGUUUUCUGUGUAUAUCUGUGUAUCAAUUGAACUUAAUGGGCAAAACUUGCUGACUUAAAUGUAAUAAUGUUCUCAUUUUUUCUAAGGUGACUGUGUGGGUUUAUUCACUCUCACUGUGGCGUUUGGUGCAGCGAUAGUGAUUCUCCUCAGUUCCCUUCUUAUCAUCUAUAACAAACAGAAGAACGGAAAAGACAUGAAGGAUGGUAACCUUGACAUCCUACGCACAAAACAGGAGCAACAGCAUGACCUGAUGAACUACAUUACCCACAAAACCCACACAUCAGGGACACAUAGAGAAGAGGUGCAUACCCAUGUUAUAAAUUAUUCUACCAGACUAACAGUAGCUUAGCAUGUUGAUGUAACAUAAUAUUCAUUACUGAACAGUAAUGUGGAUGUUUAUGUGUUGGUUGUGCUUUGGUAAACAACACAAACUAAAAUAGAAUGUCAUGGAGGAGGUAAAGGUGUAUUGCUCUUUAGGAAUUACAAAUAUGUAAUGCCAAAGUAAAAUUUGAAAUUUGUUUAUUGAGCUGUAAAUCCAUGAGGUAGGAUAUUCAUGUGGACAUGUUUGGAUCAACAGUCCUAUAAAAUCAACAUGUAAACUGAAUUAGGUGAGUCUUAAAAUAGGGUCUCUAAAAUAUAACAUUGUUUUCAUAAUGAUAGGCGAGACUGUACGACUAUGUUCUAAAGUUUGGCAACUUUUCAAGCUGAGUAUAUUGUAUUUCGAGUUGAGUAAACUUUUUACGAGUAUAACUGUACAUGUUCACACACCAGUGUUACCAUACGAAGGACCACAUUUGUACACAAAUGAUAACAAGCUUACAGCUUUCAAAACACAAACUCACUGUAGUGUUUGAAAGUUAUGUGCUAUGAGAAAUUAUAUUAGGCUAUUAUUACAUGUGAGUAAAUCUGCUCAAUUUCUAUGAAAUAUGGCAUGUGACAGAAUACAGUCAUUCAUCUGUUAUGCUGACUGUUGACAUUUUGAAACAUUUUUUAAAAAUGUA